rnacentral:rRNA from 1 species
CCGGUACAAGCGGGGUAGGAGUAAGGACAGCAAAUCUUCCUUACAAUCCGAAGACGUGAUGUGGACCGAACCAAAGUAGGGAAGCAUGUGAGCCAUGUGCCAAGAAAAGCCGCUAUUGUGAUACACAUACCCGUACCGUAAACCGACACAGGUGGAUGAGGAGAGAAUCCUAAGGCCGACGGAAGAAGCAUUGUUAAGGAACUCGGCAAAAUGACCCCGUAACUUCGGGAGAAGGGGUGCCCUGUGAAAGCAGGGCCGCAGAGAAUAGGCUCAAGCAACUGUUUAGCAAAAACACAGGUCUAUGCGAAACCGAAAGGUGAGGUAUAUGGGCCGACGCCUGCCCGGUGCUGGAAGGUUAAGAGGAGAAGUCAGGCAACGAAGCUUCGAAUUUAAGCCCCAGUAAACGGCGGCCGUAACUAUAACGGUCCUAAGGUAGCGAAAUUCCUUGUCGGGUAAGUUCCGACCCGCACGAAAGGCGUAAUGAUUUGAGCACUGUCUCGACAAUGCAUCCGGUGAAACUGAAGUACCAGUGAAGAUGCUGGUUACCUGCGCCAGGACGGAAAGACCCCAUGGAGCUUUACUCCAGCUUGAUACUGGGAUUCGAUACUGUAUGUACAGGAUAGGUGGGAGACGUUGAACAUAGAACGCCAGUUUUAUGUGAGUCGCUGUUGGGAUACCACCCUUGCAGUAUUGGAUUUCUAACCUGCACCCAUGACCUGGGUGGGGGACAAUGUCUGGCGGGGAGUUUGACUGGGGCGGUCGCCUCCGAAAGGGUAUCGGAGGCGCUCAAAGGUUCCCUCAGAAUGGUUGGAAACCAUUCGAAGAGUGCAAAGGCAGAAGGGAGCUUGACUGUGACACCGACGGGUGGAACAGGUACGAAAGUAGGACUUAGUGAUCCGGUGGUAUAAAGUGGGAUUGCCAUCGCUCAACGGAUAAAAGCUACCCUGGGAUAACAGGCUUAUCACUCCCAAGAGUUCACAUCGACGGAGUGGUUUGGCACCUCGAUGUCGGCUCAUCGCAUCCUGGGGCUGUAGCAGGUCCCAAGGGUUGGGCUGUUCGCCCAUUAAAGCGGUACGCGAGCUGGGUUCAGAACGUCGUGAGACAGUUCGGUCCCUAUCCGGCGCAGGCGGAGGAUAUUUGAGAGGAGCUGUCCUUAGUACGAGAGGACCGGGAUGGACGGACCACUGGUGUAUCUGUUGGCUAUCGGAGCCAUAGCAGAGUAGCCAAGUCCGGCAGGGAUAAACGCUGGAGGCAUCUAAGCGUGAAGCCCCCCUCAAGAUGAGAUAUCCCUCAGAAAUGAGUAAGACCCCUUGAAGACUACGAGGUAGAUAGGAAUGAGGUGUAAGCACAGCAAUGUGUUCAGCUGACAUUUACUAAUCGGUCGAGGGCUUGACCAA